UGGGGAAUUUUGGACAAUUGGGCGAAAGCCUGAUCCAGCAAUGCCGCGUGUGUGAAGAAGGCCUUCGGGUUGUAAAGCACUUUUGUCCGGAAAGAAAUCCUUGGCUCUAAUACAGUCGGGGGAUGACGGUACCGGAAGAAUAAGCACCGGCUAACUACGUGCCAGCAGCCGCGGUAAUACGUAGGGUGCAAGCGUUAAUCGGAAUUACUGGGCGUAAAGCGUGCGCAGGCGGUUUGCUAAGACCGAUGUGAAAUCCCCGGGCUCAACCUGGGAACUGCAUUGGUGACUGGCAGGCUAGAGUAUGGCAGAGGGGGGUAGAAUUCCACGUGUAGCAGUGAAAUGCGUAGAGAUGUGGAGGAAUACCGAUGGCGAAGGCAGCCCCCUGGGCAAUACUGACGCUCAUGCACGAAAGCGUGGGGAGCAAACAGGAUUAGAUACCCUGGUAGUCCACGCCCUAAAACGAUGUCAACUAGUUGUUGGGGAUUCAUUUCCUUAGUAACGUAGCUAACGCGUGAAGUUGACCGCCUGGGGAGUACGGUCGCAAGAUUAAAACUCAAAUGAAUUGACGGGGUCAUAGCUGUUUCCU
rnacentral:rRNA from 1 species